CUGGUUCAGAGCCGCGGGGUCGGCCCGGUGGUUCAGAGCCGCGGGGUCGGGCUGGUGGUUCAGUGCCGCUGGUUCAGA
rnacentral:tRNA from 1 species